UGUGGCCUUUCUUUUUUGUUGGUAGCUUUGUUGUGGCCAUUCGGACAGCUUGGGCAUUUUUCUGUUUAUCAAAAGUAACUACUAGAAAAUCAUACUAAUUGUCAAGUAAAUAGUAAUAUAGUAACAAUACAAUAAGUUACUUGCCGAGUCAUAAAUGAUGCCUUGGAUACCAACAAUGAGACAAUUCUGUAUUAUGUCACAAAUAAAUACCAAUAACUUUUCAUGUUUUCCCACUGAAAAGUAAAAUAUUGUUCUUAGUUAUGUAUAUAGUUCAUCCAUUAGCAAUUUUGCUGUGUUUGUUGUGUUGUAGGGAUACCACUUCAUUAGGUUGUUGAAAAUAUGUAAUAAUGCCCAUUUCUCAUAAACUGUAAGUUUAAUACGCACUCAAAAAUAUAUGAGUAUUAUAAUCAAUUUUCAGGAAUAAAACUAAAAAAAAGUUUCUAUGGAUUUCAUUUAGCUAACACAAUCAUUUACUCCUUAAAAGGACUUUUCUUGUCAUUUUAAUGGAAUUUUGGGCUAUCUUAAAAAAUAUUAACUCGUUGAUUGAUAUUUGUCGCACUUUGUAGAUCAACUGGCUAAAAUUCAUUUUUUAUGUUUUCAUUGGCAUAGUUCAAUAUUAGUUAACUACAUUCAUGUUUUAAACUUAAACAGUUAAAUUAAAUCUUUUUACAUGAUCAAAGUCAAAAGAUAUACGGUUGAUGUUGAAUUUGUUUGUAUGAUUAAAAAAAAUAUAUACUCCUUCAUCCCAUAGAAAUAUGCCAUAUUUCCUUUUUCGUCCGUCCGAUACAAAUAGUCACAUAUCCAUUUAUGGCAACGUUUUUCUCCUUCUUUUUUACCUUUUCAUUUAGGGGCCCACCAUCCAGUACACAAUUUCAACUACUUUUUCUCCUUCUCUCUUAUUUUACCAAUUAUACAUUAAAACCCGUGUCAACCCUAAAUGACCUAUUUAUAUGGGACGGAGGGAGUAUAUUGGUUUUUUCUAUUAUUUGAAGCCCAUCCAGUAUGUGUUUAAAAAUUUAAACUAUGCUUAGAUAACAAAAGUGCUCCCUUCAUCCCAUGAAGAAGACAUCUUCCUUAGGAAACGAGAUUUUAUUUAAUGUUAUUUUGUACUAUGUUAAAUGGAGAGAAUAAAAAAAGAUAAAUAGAAUAAAGUAGAGAUAAAAAGUGUCUUAUUUAUAGUAAUAAGUUAUUUUGAUUGAGACUGACUAAAAAGAAAGUUAGUCAUUUUUACUGGGACGGAGGAAUUACAAAACAACAACCACCGUAUUAAAACUCUCAUUUCAUUUCAUUGAAAUUUUACAUUUUUAAAUGGCUGAAAAUAUUUCUUAGUUUUUCAGUUGAACUUCUAUAUAUGAGAGUAUUAAUUUUGAUUAAUUUUGUGGUUUAUAAUAAUAGUCUUAUAAAUCUUUUCACUAUAAGUAGCCUAUAUUUUUAAUAAGCGAUAAAAUGUUAUAAGGUAUAAAUUGUAAUGGGGCACAAACAAUAUUCUGGUAUGACAAGUGGAUGAAGGAGAGAGCUUUAAAAUUAUUUUUCCAAGGCUUUUCAUGUUGUCAAUCCAGAUAAACAAGCUCAUUGAGGAGAUGAGAGUUUAGGAGAAUCAAAAUUGGAGAUGGGUCUUGAAAUGCUCAUUGAGGAGAUGAGAGUUUAGGAGAAUCAAAAUUGGAGAUGGAUCUUGAAAUGGAGGGGAAAUCUUUUUACUUGGGAGGUUACUUGACGUAUUGACAACAUGAGCACAACGAAAAACCAAGGAUGUCUUGCUUGGAAAAACGUUGUCCCACCACGAGUAAUCUUUUAUGCUUGGUUUGUCAUUCAGGGAAGACUCAACACCAAAAUUAGGUUUCGCAUAUUUUGUACCCAGAACUUGAAGAUGAUAAGUAUGUUUUAUGCAAAGAAGAGUAAGAGAGCCUGGAGCAUAUCAUUUUUAGCCGUAAAGUACCUUGUGGUCUCUGGUACUUUUGUGAGCGGUGGAAUAUCUCUUUUUUUGCAUUCUCAAGGAACCAAUGGUGUGCUUCAUCGCUUACAUGAACACUCCUCUACUCAAGUUUGACAAAAACUUUGGAGCUUUAUGUCAUUGCUUUGUCAAUUUGGAGGAAUAAUGUCAUUUUCAAGGAUUGUAACCGAAUUGGGAGCUCGAAAUAUAAGACUUAUUUGGAGCCUUAGAUCAUGAAUUAAAAGUUGGUGUCCGAAUUUCAGCAUCCGAAUAGAGUCCUUCACCAACGACUUAAGCGAUCUCAAAAGUUGAACCUAGCUAGGGUAACGUGUUUGUUUCCUUGAAUAUGUUUGCUAUCUUCCAAACUGAUGGGCUGCUCUUUUGCCUUUAGGCUUUUAUGUUUGCUUUGUUGUUUCUUGAAUUUAUGAAUUAGAUAUUAGCUGUUAAUUUUAUUUAUUUUUGUUA